rnacentral:rRNA from 1 species
AGUGAACGCUGGCGGUAGGCCUAACACAUGCCAGUCGAACGGCAGCACAGUAAGAGCUUGCUCUUACGGGUGGCGAGUGGCGGACGGGUGAGGAAUACAUCGGAAUCUACUUUUUCGUGGGGGAUAACGUAGGGAAACUUACGCUAAUACCGCAUAUGACCUACGGGUGAAAGCAGGGGAUCUUCGGACCUUGCGCGAUUGAAUGAGCCGAUGUCGGAUUAGCUAGUUGGCGGGGUAAAGGCCCACCAAGGCGACGAUCCGUAGCUGGUCUGAGAGGAUGAUCAGCCACACUGGAACUGAGACACGGUCCAGACUCCUACGGGAGGCAGCAGUGGGGAAUAUUGGACAAUGGGCGCAAGCCUGAUCCAGCCAUACCGCGUGGGUGAAGAAGGCCUUCGGGUUGUAAAGCCCUUUUGUUGGGAAAGAAAAGCAGCAGGUUAAUACCCCGCUGUUCUGACGGUACCCAAAGAAUAAGCACCGGCUAACUUCGUG